AGAGUUUGAUCCUGGCUCAGGAUGAACGCUGGCGGCAUGCCUAAUACAUGCAAGUCGAACGAGAGACCUUCGGGUCUCUAGUGGCGAACGGGUGAGUAACACGUAGGGAACCUGCCCGCGCACCGGGAAUACGCUCUGGAAACGGAGAACAAAUCCCGAUGUACAGGAAGGAGGCAUCUUCUUUCUGUGAAACAUCCUCUAGGGGAUGGGGCGCGGAUGGACCUGCGGUGCAUUAGUUUGUUGGCGGGGUAAAGGCCCACCAAGACGAUGAUGCAUAGCCGGCCUGAGAGGGCGGACGGCCACAUUGGGACUGAGACACGGCCCAGACUCCUGCGGGAGGCAGCAGUAGGGAAUUUUCGUCAAUGGGCGCAAGCCUGAACGAGCGAUGCCGCGUGAGUGAAGAAGGCCUUCGGGUCGUAAAGCUCUGUUGCGGGGGAAAAAAGGCAGCAUCAGGAAAUGGGUGCUGACUGAUGGUGCCCCGCCAGAAAGUCACGGCUAACUACGUGCCAGCAGCCGCGGCAAUACGUAGGUGGCGAGCGUUAUCCGGAAUGAUUGGGCGUAAAGGGUGCGCAGGCGGUCCUGCAAGUCUGGAGUGAAACGCAUGAGCUCAACUCAUGCAUGGCUUUGGAAACUGGAGGACUGGAGAGCAGGAGAGGGCGGUGGAACUCCAUGUGUAGCGGUAAAAUGCGUAGAUAUAUGGAAGAACACCAGUGGCGAAGGCGGCCGCCUGGCCUGUUGCUGACGCUGAGGCACGAAAGCGUGGGGAGCAAAUAGGAUUAGAUACCCUAGUAGUCCACGCCGUAAACGAUGAGGACCAAGUGUUGGGGGUGAAACCUCAGUGCUGAAGUUAACGCAGUGAGUCCUCCGCCUGGGGAGUAUGCACGCAAGUGUGAAACUCAAAGGAAUUGACGGAGGCCCGCACAAGCGGUGGAGUAUGUGGUUUAAUUCGAAGCAACGCGAAGAACCUUACCAGGCCUUGACAUCCCCCUGGAUGGCCCGUAACGGGGCCAGCCCUUUUUGGGCAGGGGAGACAGGUGGUGCAUGGUUGUCGUCAGCUCGUGUCGUGAGAUGUUGGGUUAAGUCCCGCAACGAGCGCAACCCCUGCCCGCAGUAGCCAGCAUUUUAGAUGGGGACUCUGCGGGGACUGCCGGGGACAACCCGGAGGAAGGCGGGGAUGACGUCAAAUCAUCAUGCCCCUUAUGGCCUGGGCUACACACGUGCUACAAUGGCGCCGACAGAGGGAGGCGAAGCGGCGACGCGGAGCGAACCCCAAAAACGGCGUCCCAGUUCGGAUUGUAGUCUGCAACCCGCCUCCAUGAAGUUGGAAUCGCUAGUAAUCGCGGAUCAGCAUGCCGCGGUGAAUACGUUCCCGGGCCUUGUACUCACCGCCCGUCA
rnacentral:rRNA from 1 species